CGUUAAUCCUUGCGACAGAUCUGUGUCAAUGAGUUAGGAGACUAUUCAGUGACACAGAUUUGUCGUGAGGAUUAAAUGA
rnacentral:pre_miRNA from 1 species